rnacentral:tRNA from 1 species
UGCCAGGGCAUCCACCAAACGCCCUUUUCGCGCUUGAUCUGACCCGGAAAGAGCAAGGCCGCUGGUUCAAGUGGCCCGCAUCCCUUCCGGCGUCAAAAGUCGUAUACUUACCCAUGCGUGCAGCGAACGCGCCCUAAAGCACAGUCACCGCACACGGUUAGUGUACUAGACUUGGAACAAUAUCAUCUGUCGCGGUCGAACCGCCAGGCAUCCCCAUACUCGGGGCGCCAGAUGAUACUGAUGUUUCUCACUCUAAACGAUGUCAAUUCGUCCAGUCGGACGAGCAAACAGUCCUGAAGACCGCUUGCUGAUCUGACCGUCCUGUCAGGGUCAAUGGUGGGUCGAGGAGGACUUGAACCUCCGACCUCACGCUUAUCAGGCGUGCGCUCUAACCACCUGAGCUACCGACCCACAUGCCGUCCGCGCCUCGGCGCGGCAAAUCGGUCCAG